UAUAAAAUAAAUCUCCAACUAACUAAAACAUAAUAAUAAAAAGUUGAAGAAUUCUAAACAAGAGUAAGACAAACAAAAACAACAAUAUAAAGUUUUAAAUGUGAAAAAUUAAAUCGUGCAUUGUGUUACAAAAGAAAACGAAUACUAAUAAAUUAGAAUACUCGAAGUGGAUUAGAUACAGUGGUUGAGGUGAUUGGUUUUAAUGACGUGGUUUUAUUGGAGAUUUGUGAAAUUUGCAGUGUUAGAGCUCAAGUAGUAGUGAAAUUUUUUAUGAUAUUAUUGUUACAACACAUAUUAAUAAUAAAUUGGACAUGAAGAUAUAGAGUAAAUGAAAAUUGUAUAAAAUUGUUAACUACAGUACAUAAAUAUGGCUAAUAAUAACUAUGAAAGUGAAAGGAGAGGUAGUAGAAACAGAGCUUUAGAACGAUCAUUAAGUUACUCCGAAGCAAUUGGCAAUGGGUCUGCCAGAUCUUCAAUAGAGAUUCCCAGAAUUGCCAACACCGAAGUAUAUACAAACGAGGAAUUAAAGAAACAUUACAGAAUUUCACAAACAUAUGUAGAAGGGAAGGAGAUUGUAUUCCCAAAUAUUGUUACUAAUGUGGAUACAACUGUGCCGAUGGAUUUUGGAGGUUAUGUAUACAGUUCGCAGUCUAGUGAAGAUGAACAAACAGAUUCUGGGUUAAUUAUGACGAUAGAUGUUGAGACAGAAAGUCCCAGGUCGUCAGACAAACGGAAUGUUUCAGACGCGUCUACUAGACCCCUAGUCAGCAGUAGCUCUCCUAAUGACACCUAUGAAAGUAUAGAACCAGAUCGCGAGGGUAUUUACAAUGAGGCUCCUUCAUCUGUGUUCGAGUAUUCAACGCCAUAUUCAAAACGACGAAGAGCAGCCAAGAGAUGUCGUCGACAGCAUGGAAGACCGAUGCGAUCUAGAAGAGUGGUCCACAAGAGCGGAGAAGAAAACGUACCGGUGAGAAGCAACAUUCCUUCAAAGUCUAUGAAGUAUAUGAGGGAUAUUGUUAACACUGUGAUAAACAGUAAAUGGCGCUACAUGAUUUUGUUGAUUAUGUUUUCCCACUUUGUCUUCUGGUUGCUGUUCGCCAGCAUAUGGUACGUGGUGUCUGCUUCGUAUCAGGAAGAUAUCGGUGAUGGGAAGGAGCAUUGCAUCACCGGCACAUCGUCGUUUGCUGGUAUGCUCAUGAUGGCUGUUGAAACUCAGAUGACAAUAGGCUACGGUGUGAGGUACCCGAACGAGGAGUGUCCUGAAGCGAUAGUUAUAAUGGUACUAGAGAUCGUUGCCGGAACCGCAUUGUCUGGAGGACUAUCGAGUCUGCUCUUCACCAAGCUCGUACGACCAAACAAACUUGUAACGUCUGUAGGCUUCAGUAACAAAGCUACUGUUUGUCUGAGGGAUGGAGAGCUCUGCUUACAGUUCCGAGUGUGGGAUUUCUUGAGCACCCAUCUCAUCGGUAGCACCAUCAAUGCGUACCUACAUAAACCAAUCCGGACCCUGGAAGGCGAGCUCGUCCCGAACUACAUUCAGCAGUUGAAGCUGUGCCAGGCUCGCGCGUUGCUGCUCUGGCCAAUCACAGUCGUCCACGUCAUAGACGCUGAGAGCCCGCUUUUCCACAUGUCCGCUGAAGACAUGAUGGACUAUAGGUUUGAGAUAGUGGUGUGCCUGACAGGCGCGUCUAAGAGUUUGGGAACGACGACCCAAAGCCGAACGUCAUACUUGUCAAAGGAGAUUAUCUGGGGAUAUAGAUUUAAAAAUGUUUUGAAGUAUUGCAAAAAAGCUGAAGCCUAUACCAUUGACGUAGAUAACCUGAACACAGUUGAACAAGUAGAAACUCCACUCUGCAGCGCGAGCAGGCUCAAGGAGUUCGAAGAAGACAUGAGGUCUGAACAGCUUUUAUCCACGAUCGAUCUGUCGACCUCUCCUACCAACCUAUCCCUGAGCCAGGACGAGACGUUGUCCAGAGUUGGAGAGUCAGUACCGUCUACGCCAGUGCUGAACAGAACAGGAACACAACGGAGUUAUGGAUGGAGUUUCAAGAGGUUUUAUCCUGAGAGAUUCCAGAGGUCUAGGGAUGUUGGAAAACAAAUGCAGGAGUUGGAAAAAUAACAAGUUCUUAAUAUAAUUUACUAUCAGGCGUUUCUUUGUGAGAGCUUAGAAUUAGUAGUUUAGCUGCAAAAUCAAGAACUUUUUACCGCUUGUAGUGGAGACCAGAAGUUCAAGAGGUGGUUGUACAGCGAAUAGAAACCUUCAAAUUAACGCCUGCUAAUAAUAAAUGAACCUUCAUAAGUUACAGUUAAGUCUUAAUUAAACAGGGUUGCUCAAUUGUUGUACUAAUAGCAUGAAGUAAUUUUUGGAAAAGUAGGAGGAAACGCGAUGAAUUAACACGCAGAGUAACUGAUGCUGUGAUGUGUUCACCUUCUCACAAGGUCUCUUAUGACACAAGAUAAUUUUUGAAAGAG